GUAAUUUGUGGAGGGUGCCGCAGUCUACCGUGGCAGGUCUUCCUUCCAGAAGCCCAAGGCAGGAGAGCUGAGCCAAGAAGGCCCUGGAAUGUCAGUAUAUCUGCGCCUAGAGGAUGUGUCUGGUUACUGCACAGCCACACAGCUGACGACUGGAUCUGCACAGCUGAGAAGAACUGGAUCUUGUCCUCACUCAGCCAGAGGAGGACUCCUUGCCACUUGGAGGAGAUGCUUUGGUGAGAAUCUCUGCCCUGCUGUGUCCUGAGAUCUUAAGAGAUGAUGGGGAUAGAGGGCUCCCUAUGUGGGCCAUGCAUUUGGGCAGGGGCAGGCUUCCUCCAGGGU